GUGUUGUUAGAGAGGAGAGAAGGUUAGCGCUCCCCCGAUAAGGACGGCUUCAACACAAACAAGUCAGUGGCUCUCUAUUUAGGGGGGGGUCACACUUGUUUUUUUUU